AUGACUCGAGAGAUUCGAACGAUUCAGAAUUUAAGGAUUCGCUCUGGUUUGACCCUCGGAUCUUGGGAGAAUAUAAUGAUAGGACAUCUAAUCUAUACUCCAGUCUGGAAGGUGGCGGUAAUGCACCUAUAAGUUGUUUGCCAACCGCCAUUAAACAUAAAAGAAGAAGAAGAAGAAGAAGACCCUCGGAUCUUGGUUGAAGACCACCUCCCAAAAAAAAUUACUGGAGUUCAGCAUCAACCAGUGAAGCACUGGGUCCAACGUCUUCUGCACCCCUAGAAGAUCUGAAUGAAGACCUGAAGGUGAAAGUAGUAGGACGACAACGUAGGACGCACCAGUGAUGGAUGUCACCGGUUGAAGAAGCUGCCCCAUUCCAUUUUUUAGUUUGUUUACCUUUUCAGCUGCUGUUUGAUACUGGAUCAUUGUCUUCCCUUCUGCUGAAGACGUGCUGUUCCCCCAAAAGAGCGUUUACUUAUUGGUUAAGAUGUUUUUGUGCAUCGGUAGACUGAUGCUCCCAUUGUUGGGGUCAAAGUGAAAAUCCAAAAAACAGUUUGCUUAUCUCUGACACACCCUCGUCCACAAUUCUGGGGCCAUAGAUCUCCCUAACCUAAAGAAAACUGAAAACCAUGUCCUAUCCCCUGUAUAAUCCCAAUGCUCUGGGGAAUCAGAGUUCCUCCCAGGACCAGUAUGGAAACCCUGGACGAUCAGACAGUGAACGCUGGAGGGCACAGCGUCACCCUGGACCUGAUUUUGGCUUCAGCUCUCCUGCAGCUGACCACUUGGGGAGACCAGUCCCACAAUUUCGAGAGCCGCCGGUGAGUUACAGACCAGAGCAGAGGAUGGUCAGCUUGGAAAGGGAUGUAGAGCCUUCUGGAGACCAGUACUUGAGCAGAGCCCGAGAGGAAGUGAGGCAUCAGUCU